rnacentral:rRNA from 1 species
UACGAAGGGGGCUAGCGUUGUUCGGAAUCACUGGGCGUAAAGGGCGCGUAGGCGGCUUUAUAAGUCGGGGGUGAAAGCCUGUGGCUCAACCACAGAAUUGCCUUCGAUACUGUAGAGCUUGAGACCGGAAGAGGUUAGUGGAACUGCGAGUGUAGAGGUGAAAUUCGUAGAUAUUCGCAAGAACACCGGUGGCGAAGGCGGCGAGCUGGUCCAUUACUGACGCUGAGGCGCGACAGCGUGGGGAGCAAACAGG